AGCUGUCAAUGAUGCUUUUGUUUAAAAAAACAAUUGGGAAUCUCUCUGACAAGAGUGAAAGAUAACUUUUGACUGAGUCAGUG